rnacentral:rRNA from 1 species
CACUAUCGUUAACUGAAUACAUAGGUUAACGAGGCGAACCGGGGGAACUGAAACAUCUAAGUACCCCGAGGAAAAGAAAUCAACCGAGAUUCCCCCAGUAGCGGCGAGCGAACGGGGAGCAGCCCAGAGUCUGAAUCAGCUUGUGUGUUAGUGGAACGGUCUGGAAAGUCCGACGGUACAGGGUGAUAGUCCCGUACACCAAAAUGCACAGGUUGUGAACUCGAAGAGUAGGGCGGGACACGUGGUAUCCUGUCUGAAUAUGGGGGGACCAUCCUCCAAGGCUAAAUACUCCUGACUGACCGAUAGUGAACCAGUACCGUGAGGGAAAGGCGAAAAGAACCCCGGCGAGGGGAGUGAAAAAGAACCUGAAACCGUGUACGUACAAGCAGUGGGAGCACCUUCGGGUGUGACUGCGUACCUUUUGUAUAAUGGGUCAGCGACUUAUAUUCUGUAGCAAGGUUAACCGUAUAGGGGAGCCGCAGGGAAACCGAGUCUUAACUGGGCGUUAAGUUGCAGGGUAUAGACCCGAAACCCGGUGAUCUAGCCAUGGGCAGGUUGAAGGUUGGGUAACACUAACUGGAGGACCGAACCGACUAAUGUUGAAAAAUUAGCGGAUGACUUGUGGCUGGGGGUGAAAGGCCAAUCAAACCGGGAGAUAGCUGGUUCUCCCCGAAAGCUAUUUAGGUAGCGCCUCGUGAACUCAUCUUCGGGGGUAGAGCACUGUUUCGGCUAGGGGGUCAUCCCGACUUACCAACCCGAUGCAAACUACGAAUACCGAAGAAUGUUAUCACGGGAGACACACGGCGGGUGCUAACGUCCGUCGUGAAGAGGGAAACAACCCAGACCGCCAGCUAAGGUCCCAAAGUCAUGGUUAAGUGGGAAACGAUGUGGGAAGGCACAGACAGCCAGGAUGUUGGCUUAGAAGCAGCCAUCAUUUAAAGAAAGCGUAAUAGCUCACUGGUCGAGUCGGCCUGCGCGGAAGAUGUAACGGGGCUAAACCAUGCACCGAAGCUGCGGCAGCGACACUAUGUGUUGUUGGGUAGGGGAGCGUUCUGUAAGCCUGCGAAGGUGUGCUGUGAGGCAUGCUGGAGGUAUCAGAAGUGCGAAUGCUGACAUAAGUAACGAUAAAGCGGGUGAAAAGCCCGCUCGCCGGAAGACCAAGGGUUCCUGUCCAACGUUAAUCGGGGCAGGGUGAGUCGACCCCUAAGGCGAGGCCGAAAGGCGUAGUCGAUGGGAAACAGGUUAAUAUUCCUGUACUUGGUGUUACUGCGAAGGGGGGACGGAGAAGGCUAUGUUAGCCGGGCGACGGUUGUCCCGGUUUAAGCAUGUAGGCUGAUUGUCCAGGCAAAUCCGGAUAAUCAAGGCUGAGGUGUGAUGACGAGGCACUACGGUGCUGAAGUAACAAAUGCCCUGCUUCCAGGAAAAGCCUCUAAGCAUCAGGUAACAUUAAAUCGUACCCCAAACCGACACAGGUGGUCAGGUAGAGAAUACCAAGGCGCUUGAGAGAACUCGGGUGAAGGAACUAGGCAAAAUGGUGCCGUAACUUCGGGAGAAGGCACGCUGGUGUGUAGGUGAAGCCCCUGCGGGUGGAGCUGAGACCAGUCGAAGAUACCAGCUGGCUGCAACUGUUUAUUAAAAACACAGCACUGUGCAAACACGAAAGUGGACGUAUACGGUGUGACGCCUGCCCGGUGCCGGAAGGUUAAUUGAUGGGGUUAUCCGUAAGGAGAAGCUCUUGAUCGAAGCCCCGGUAAACGGCGGCCGUAACUAUAACGGUCCUAAGGUAGCGAAAUUCCUUGUCGGGUAAGUUCCGACCUGCACGAAUGGCGUAAUGAUGGCCAGGCUGUCUCCACCCGAGACUCAGUGAAAUUGAACUCGCUGUGAAGAUGCAGUGUACCCGCGGCAAGACGGAAAGACCCCGUGAACCUUUACUAUAGCUUGACACUGAACAUUGAGCCUUGAUGUGUAGGAUAGGUGGGAGGCUUUGAAGCGUGGACGCCAGUCUGCGUGGAGCCAACCUUGAAAUACCACCCUUUAAUGUUUGAUGUUCUAACGUUGGCCCCUUACCGGGGUUGCGGACAGUGUCUGGUGGGUAGUUUGACUGGGGCGGUCUCCUCCCAAAGCGUAACGGAGGAGCACGAAGGUUAGCUAAUCCUGGUCGGACAUCAGGAGGUUAGUGCAAUGGCAUAAGCUAGCUUGACUGCGAGCGUGACGGCGCGAGCAGGUGCGAAAGCAGGUCAUAGUGAUCCGGUGGUUCUGAAUGGAAGGGCCAUCGCUCAACGGAUAAAAGGUACUCCGGGGAUAACAGGCUGAUACCGCCCAAGAGUUCAUAUCGACGGCGGUGUUUGGCACCUCGAUGUCGGCUCAUCACAUCCUGGGGCUGAAGUAGGUCCCAAGGGUAUGGCUGUUCGCCAUUUAAAGUGGUACGCGAGCUGGGUUUAGAACGUCGUGAGACAGUUCGGUCCCUAUCUGCCGUGGGCGCUGGAGAAUUGAGGGGGGCUGCUCCUAGUACGAGAGGACCGGAGUGGACGCAUCACUGGUGUUCGGGUUGUCAUGCCAAUGGCACUGCCCGGUAGCUAAAUGCGGAAGAGAUAAGUGCUGAAAGCAUCUAAGCACGAAACUUGCCCCGAGAUGAGUUCUCCCUGAGACUUUAAGUCUCCUGAAGGAACGUUAAAGACGAUGACGUUGAUAGGCCGGGUGUGUAAGCGCAGCGAUGCGUUGAGCUAACCGGUACUAAUGAACCGUGAGGCUUAACCUU